rnacentral:tRNA from 1 species
AAGGGUGUAGCUCAGUGGUAGAGCGCAUAACUAGCAUGCAUGAGGUUCUGAGUUCAAGCCCCAGUACCUCCA